AGUCAUUAUGCCCUACUGCUGAGUCUGCAUAUGUGUGAGCAUCCUGCAUAAUCAUAUUAGAGCUGAAGUUGACUCUGAAAGCUUGUAUGAGACAAUCCCUUUCCUCCACCUACUCCUUGCCAAACCAUAAGGUUUUCUUAAGGAGCCAAUGUUUUUCUCCUCUUGGAGAUCUUCUAGAGAAAUGGUGCAGUACUUCAUGGAAAUCCCGGUCUUAGUUUGCACUUGACAGUCAGCCCCAGAAGCCAGCUGGGAAUGUGGAUACAUAAAGCUGCUGCUCAUCAACACAGACAAGUUAUGAUGAGCCUUCUCUGUUUGAAGAAGGAGAAUCAAAAUUUAUCUCCUGGUACAAUUCCACUUAAGUCACCAGAGAUACUGCAAGCUUGACUGUCUGGAAAUCUCUUCUUCCAGGUGUGCUGGGAAGUUCAUAGAGGAUCAAGUACAGAGAUGAACUACAAGAAAUGUUUGUGGAGACUGUUUUGUAAGAGGAGCCCAGGAGAGCCGGGCUUGGGCAGCUGAACACACCACUAGCAGAGGAGUGUAUUCACCUCUUUCUCAGUGGCUUGGAUUGCAAGAUUUCUGGGACAGGAACUUGAGUUUUCUGCCACCAAUCUCAGCAAGAUUCUGGGCUCUGAAAAUGUUACAGCUGUAGAAAACAUACUAAACCACUAAGGUCUUUCUGUAUUUUAGCACCUCAGACUAACCAGGAGCUAUUUUGACUUAGCUCUUCACAUCUUUUUCCACAGCUGAUAACCUCCCCAGCCAGCAUUUGCAUCUUCCAUGGAAUGAAGCCAGUAGCCUACAUGUUUGAAUCUUCAGCCCCGAGGAAAUAUUUCUCAAUGGCGAGGAAUCCUUUCUUUAAAGAGCUGCCUUCAAAAGCCCAGUGCUCAUGGGACUGCUGCACCUCCUUCUGCACCAUUCCUAAGGAGUUAGGUGGAGGGGCCUUCCAUAUGCAGCUUGACUGAAAACCACAGGGGACUGUCUGCAUUUCAGGGAAGAUUUUACCAUAUUCAGAAAGAUUUUAACCAUCUUGUCUUGGAUGAAGGCUUCUGAUAAUUGGACAGCCUUUCUUUGACAUCAGGAACCAAAACGUCUGUUUUCAAGGGUAA